GUGGCGGACGGGUGAGUAACACGUAAGAAUUUGCCUUUAGGAGGGGGACAACAACUGGAAACGGUUGCUAAUACCCCAUAUGCUUUCGAGUGAAAUGGAUUUUUCCGCCUAGAGAGAAGCUUGCGGCUGAUUAGCUUGUUGGCGAGGUAAUGGCUUACCAAGGCGACGAUCAGUAUCUGGUUUGAGAGGAUGAUCAGACACACUGGAACUAAGACACGGUCCAGACUCCUACGGGAGGCAGCAGUGGGGAAUUUUCCGCAAUGGGCGAAAGCCUGACGGAGCAAUCUCGCGUGAGGGAUGACGGCCUAUGGGUUGUAAACCUCUUUUUUCAGGGAGGAACAAAAUGACGUGUACCCGAAGAAUAAGCAUCGGCUAACUCCGUGCCAGCAGCCGCGGUAAGACGGAGGAUGCAAGUGUUAUCCGGAAUCACUGGGCGUAAAGCGUCUGUAGGUGGUUUAGUAAGUCAACUGUUAAAUCUUGAAGCUCAACUUCAAAAUCGCAGUCGAAACUAUUAGACUAGAGUAUAGUAGGGGUAAAGGGAAUUUCCAGUGGAGCGGUGAAAUGCGUAGAGAUUGGAAAGAACACCGAUGGCGAAGGCACUUUACUGGGCUAUUACUGACACUCAGAGACGAAAGCUAGGGUAGCAAAUGGGAUUAGAUACCCCAGUAGUCCUAGCCGUAAACAAUGGAUACUAGAUGUUGAACAGAUCGACCUGUGCAGUAUUAAAGCUAACGCGUUAAGUAUCCCGCCUGGGAAGUAUGCUCGCAAGAGUG
rnacentral:rRNA from 1 species